rnacentral:rRNA from 1 species
UACGAGUGCCUCGAGCGUUAUCCGGAAUCAUUGGGCGUAAAGAGCUCGUAGGCGGUCUGUCGCGUCUGCUGUGAAAACUCGGGGCUUAACCCCGGGCCUGCAGUGGGUACGGGCAGACUAGAGUGCGGUAGGGGAGACUGGAAUUCCUGGUGUAGCGGUGAAAUGCGCAGAUAUCAGGAGGAACACCGGUGGCGAAGGCGGGUCUCUGGGCAACAACUGACGCUGAGGAGCGAAAGCGUGGGGAGCGAACAGG